GUGUAUGAAGAAGGCCUUCGGGUUGUAAAGUACUUUCAGUUGUGAGGAAGGCANUUAAGUUAAUAGCUUAACUGUUUGACGUUAGCAACAGAAGAAGCACCGGCUAACUCCGUGCCAGCAGCCGCGGUAAUACGGAGGGUGCGAGCGUUAAUCGGAAUUACUGGGCGUAAAGCGCAUGCAGGCGGUCUGUUAAGCAAGAUGUGAAAGCCCGGGGCUCAACCUCGGAACAGCAUUUUGAACUGGCAGACUAGAGUCUUGUAGAGGGGGGUAGAAUUUCAGGUGUAGCGGUGAAAUGCGUAGAGAUCUGAAGGAAUACCGGUGGCGAAGGCGGCCCCCUGGACAAAGACUGACGCUCAGAUGCGAAAGCGUGGGGAGCAAACAGGAUUAGAUACCCUGGUAGUCCACGCCGUAAACGAUGUCUACUUGAAGGUUGUGGCCUUGAGCCGUGGCUUUCGGAGCUAACGCGUUAAGUAGACCGCCUGGGGAGUACGGUCGCAAGAUUAAAACUCAAAUGAAUUGACGGGGGCCCGCACAAGCGGUGGAGCAUGUGGUUUAAUUCGAUGCAACGCGAAGAACCUUACCUACUCUUGACAUCCAGAGAAUUCGCUAGAGAAGCUUAGUGCCUCGGGAAU
rnacentral:rRNA from 1 species